rnacentral:tRNA from 1 species
AACAAGUUGACAAGCGUGCACACGCAGAUACCAUACGAUUACUAUUCCGUCAAGUUCUGUCGACCAAACGGCGGCAUU